rnacentral:rRNA from 1 species
GACAGAGGGUGCAAACGUUGUUCGGAAUUACUGGGCGUAAAGCGCGUGUAGGCGGCCAUCUAAGUCGGGCGUGAAAUCCCACGGCUCAACCGUGGAAGUGCACUCGGAAACUGGAUGGCUAGAGUCCUGGAGAGGAAGGUGGAAUGCUUGGUGUAGAGGUGAAAUUCGUAGAUAUCAAGCGGAACACCGGUGGCGAAGGCGGCCUUCUGGACAGUGACUGACGCUGAGACGCGAAAGCGUGGGGGAGCAAAGCAGG